AUCCGUGAAGGAUUUCAAAUUAACCUUUUUUAUUAUUUUUGACAUUUAUUCAUUGCAUAGUAUAAAAUGUAUACUAUCGCAUAUUAUUGUUUAUACUAAGCCGGAAUAACGCAAACAUAUUUCAGUUAGUAUUUUGUCUUUGUGAAAUUUUCUUUCAUUUACAAUUUAUUACUCCAGUCGAGUGAAAUGUUGCCCAAAACGACGCCCAGAAUGUCCGAAUUUUGUGAGAAAGUUCCAGGAGCUGCCAUCUCCGGCUUUAUCAGGGGGAGAAAUUGCGCAGCGGUAAAAUUUGAUAACAGUUGGAAGGUUAACCGAUUCUAUUAUUCAGAGGAUGUAUCACGAGGUAGCGGCGCCGGUGGAAUUAUCGCCGCGAAAACCGAUAUGGAACGCGAAAUCGAAACCUGGCAGCUGUUCAUCGAAUUAUCACGGCAGCAAUGCAUUUUAUUACCACCGGAAUUAAAGCGGAUCGUCCAACUGGAUCCGUUCAUUACCCUAGUCUUACGCGUUUGAUGGAUGAGAAAGAUAUCAGAGGCGGCAAGUUCACCAAUAGCCAAAUUACUACAUUCAUCAAAUACUGAUUACGAUUUACGAGCCGAUUGCCUUGGUCUAAGUCUACAAUUUUCUGCACCACUUCGUCAAUUGCUACAACCCAAAGUCCUGAAGGAAACAGCUCAGCACAGGAUCAAGACCAGCCGCACGCAUUUACUCCCAGUUCAUCGAUUUCCCCGAGCAAUCACAUCUCAUUUAUGUAUUCUAUUGCAUGGUUUUAGUCUGAGAGUUAAUUAAACUAAUAAUUACUUUCUCUGUUACUUUCAUUUUCAUUUGUAUUUUCCAAUAAGAAAAAAAAACA